rnacentral:rRNA from 1 species
AUACGGGAGGCAGCAGUGGGGAAUUUUGGACAAUGGGCGAAAGCCUGAUCCAGCAAUGCCGCGUGCAGGAUGAAGGCCUUCGGGUUGUAAACUGCUUUUGUACGGAGCGAAACGGCUCUCUUUAAUACAGGGAGCUAAUGACGGUACCGUAAGAAUAAGCACCGGCUAACUACGUGCCAGCAGCCGCGGUAAUACGUAGGGUGCAAGCGUUAAUCGGAAUUACUGGGCGUAAAGCGUGCGCAGGCGGUUAUAUAAGACAGAUGUGAAAUCCCUGGGCUCAACCUAGGAACUGCAUCUGUGACUGUAUAGCUAGAGUACGGUAGAGGGGGAUGGAAUUCCGCGUGUAGCAGUGAAAUGCGCAGAUAUGCGGAGGAACACCGAUGGCGAAGGCAAUCCCCUGGACCUGUACUGACGCUCAUGCACGAAAGCGUGGGGAGCAAACAGGAUUAGAAACCCCGGUAGUCCC